GAUGAACGCUGGCGGCGUGCUUAACACAUGCAAGUCGAACGAAGCACUUUAUUUGAUUUCCUUCGGGACUGAUUAUUUUGUGACUGAGUGGCGGACGGGUGAGUAACGCGUGGGUAACCUGCCUUGUACAGGGGGAUAACAGUUGGAAACGGCUGCUAGUACCGCAUAAGCGCACGGCAUCGCAUGAUGCAGUGUGAAAAACUCCGGUGGUAUAAGAUGGACCCGCGUUGGAUUAGCUAGUUGGUGAGGUAACGGCCCACCAAGGCGACGAUCCAUAGCCGACCUGAGAGAGUGACCGGACACAUUGGGACUGAGCCACGGCACAAACUCCUACGGGAGGCAGCAGUGGGGAAUAUUGCACAAUGGGCGAAAGGCUGAUGCAGCGACGACGCGUGAGCGAAGAAGUAUGUCGGUAUGUAAAGCUCUAUCAGCAGGGAAGAUAAUGACGGUACCUGACUAAGAAGCACCGGCUAAAUACGUG
rnacentral:rRNA from 1 species